rnacentral:rRNA from 1 species
GAUGAACGCUAGCGGCAGGCUUAACACAUGCAAGUCGAGGGGUAUUUAUCUUCGGAUAGAGAGACCGGCGCACGGGUGCGUAACGCGUAUGCAAUCUACCUUUUACAGAGGGAUAGCCCAGAGAAAUUUGGAUUAAUACCUCAUAGUAUAUAGACUCGGCAUCGAGAUUAUAUUAAAGUCACAACGGUAAAAGAUGAGCAUGCGUCCCAUUAGCUAGUUGGUAAGGUAACGGCUUACCAAGGCUACGAUGGGUAGGGGUCCUGAGAGGGAGAUCCCCCACACUGGUACUGAGCCAAGGACCAGACUCCUACGGGAGGCAGCAGUGAGGAAUAUUGGACAAUGGGAGCAAGCCUGAUCCAGCCAUGCCGCGUGCAGGAUGACGGUCCUAUGGAUUGUAAACUGCUUUUAUACGAGAAGAAACACUGCUACGUGUAGCAGCUUGACGGUAUCGUAAGAAUAAGGAUCGGCUAACUCCGUG